AUCCAGUUGACGAGUCCGAAAUAGGAAGAAAUGCGCGUCCUGGAU
rnacentral:hammerhead_ribozyme from 1 species